rnacentral:rRNA from 1 species
AGUGAACGCUGGCGGCGUGCCUAAUACAUGCAAGUCGAACGGAGUGGCGCACGGGUGAGUAAUAUAUAGCUAAUCUGCCCCUUGCUGGAGGACAACCGUCAGAAAUGACUGCUAAUACCCCAUAGCAAGGGAUGGGACUGUAUCGUAUCAGCUAGUCGGUGUGGUAACGGCCUACCGAGGCGAUGACGCGUAACUGGGCUGAGAGGAUGAUCAGUCGAAUUGGAAGGGAGGCACGGGUGAGACUCCUACGGGAAGCAGCAGUAGGGAAUAGUGCGCAAUGGGGGAGACCCUGACGGGGCAACGCGGCGUGGAGUAUGACACUUUUCGGAGCGUAAACUCCUUUUGUUAGGGAAGCGGUACCUAACGAAUAAGCACCGGCUAACUCCGUGCCAGCAGCCGCGGUAAUUC